rnacentral:lncRNA from 1 species
CGGGGCGUCCCGACCCAUAACUGACACCCUGACCCACAGCCCUGCCCCAUAGUGGGGCGUCCUGACCCAUAGCGAGGUGUUCUGACCCAUACCCAAAGGCCUGCCCCACAGCUAAACACCCAGCCCCACAUCUCCCCACAGACCCCACAGACCCUGAGGUAGGCCUGCCCCAUGUCCCAGCCCCACACCCAGCCCCACAUCUCCCAGCCCCACAUGUCCCGGCCCCACAUCUCCCCACAUGUCCCUGCCCCACAAACCCUGAGGUACGCUUGCUGCCUGUCCCAGCCCCACACCCAGCCCCACAUCUCCCAGCCCCACAUGUCCCUGCCCCACAUCUCCCCACAUGUCCCUGCCCCACACACCCUGAGGUAGGCCUGCUGCGUGUGCCAGACCCAGGCCGUGCCCCGGUUGUGCCGCGCCAUCAGCGCCAGCCCCAGCAGCGUCAGCGCCGCCCGCAGCUCGCUCUGCUCCGCGUCCAGCAGCACCCGCACCCCGCGGGACACCGCCAGCUGCGGGCGGACCCAUAGGUGGGGGGCAGACCCACACAUGGGGGGCAGACCCACACAUGGGGGGCAGACCCAUAGCAGGAGACCCACAGGUACAAGGGAGACCCAUAGGGAGAGACCCAGGCAUGGAGGGCAGAUCCAUAGGUGGGGGGCAGACCCAUAGGGGGAGACCCAUAGGGAGAAACCCAUAGGGAGAGACCCACACAUGGGGGGCAGACCCAUAGAUAGGGGGCAGACCCAUAGCAAGAGACCCAUAGGGAGAGACCCAGGCAUGGGGGGCAGGGACACAGAUGGAUAGGGGAUGGGGACACUGCUAUGGGGCCACUUGUGGGGCAGACCCACUGCUAUGGGGCACCCCCCACCCCUGGCCCCCCACAUCUAUAGGGCCCCCCACCCCUGGGUGCUCCCGAUCUAUGGGGCAGCCCCCACCCCUGCCACCCCCAUCUAUAGCCCCCCNNNNNNNNNNGCAAUGUGGGGCGCUAUGGGGCGCUAUGGGGCAGCUGUGGGGCGCUGUGGGGCAGGGCUCACCGCGGAAGUAGCCGCCGUAGGAGCCCUGCUUGUGGUCGAAGACGCGCUCGUUGUUCUCCACCAGCCCCCCCAGCUUCUCGGCCAGCUGCAGCGCCAGGUUCUGCUGCGCCGUGGGCUCCGUGCGGUGCAUCAUCACCGUCUGCGUCGGCUGGUCCAGGGACGCCUGUGGGACCCACAGCUCUGCCCCAUGGCUGCCCCACAGCUGCCCCACAUCACCCCAUAGCUGCCCCAUAGCCACCCGACACUGCCCCAUAAUGUCCCAUGGCCACACCACAUCAUCACCGUCUGCGUCGGCUGGUCCAGGGACGCCUGGGGGGCACGCAGCGUGACCCAUAGCUGCCCCACAUCGCCCCAUAGCUGCCCCAUGGCUGCCCCAUAACCAUCCCAUAAUCACCCCAUAACAACCCCACAUCAUCACCGUCUGCGUCGGCUGGUCCAGGGACGCCUGCGGGACCCCAAACUCUGCCCCAUAGCUGCCCCACAUCGCCCCAUAACCACCCCACAUUGCCCCAUGGCUGCCCCAUAACCACCCCAUAACCACCCCACAUUGCCCCAUGGCUGCCCCAUAACCAUCCCAUAAUCGCCCCAUAAUCCCCCCACAUCAUCACCGUCUGCGUCGGCUGGUCCAGGGACGCCUGCGGGACCCACAGCUCUGCCCCAUAGCUGCCCCACAUCGCCCCAUAACCACCCCAUAUUGCCCCAUAGCUGCUCUAUAUCACCCCCAAAUGACCCCACAGCACCCUGCAGCACCCCCAGUGCCCCAUAGCUGCCCCACAUCGCCCCAUAACCACCCCACAUCAUCACCGUCUGCGUCGGCUGGUCCAGGGACGCCUGGGGGGCACGCAGCGUGACCCAUAGCUGCCCCACAUCGCCCCAUAACCACCCCACAUUGCCCCAUGGCUGCCCCAUAACCACCCCAUAAUCACCCCAUAGCCACCCCACAUCANNNNNNNNNNCCCAUGGCUGCCCCAUAAUAACCAUCCCAUAAUCACCCCAUAACACCCCACAUCAUCACCGUCUGCGUCGGCUGGUCCAGGGACGCCUGGGGGGCACGCAGCGUGACCCAUAGCUGCCCCACAUCGCCCCAUAACCACCCCACAUUGCCCCAUAACUGCCCCAUAACCACCCCAUGGCUGCCCCAUAAUAACCAUCCCAUAAUCACCCCAUAACACCCCACAUCAUCACCGUCUGCGUCGGCUGGUCCAGGGACGCCUGCGGGACCCACAGCUCUGCCCCAUGGCUGCCCCACAUCGCCCCAUAACCACCCCACAUUGCCCCAUAGCUGCUCUAUAACACCCCCAAAUGACCCCAUAGCACCCUGCGGCACCCCCAGUGCCCCAUAGCUGCCCCACAGCACCCCAUAGCUGCCCUAUAUCACUCCCCAAUCACCCCCCAUUGCCCCAUAUCUGCCCCACACCGCCCCAUAUCCGCCCCCCAGCGCCCCACCAUGAGCUCCUCGUUGAUGAUCAUCUUGCUGAUGAUGCUGUGCACCGUGGGCAGGUCCAGCUGGAACAUGUCGGCCAGGAUCUCCAUGCUGCCGGACCCGCCGUGAUGUCACCACGAUGUCACCAUGACGUCACCACAGCCCGAUGACAUCACCAUGACGUCACCAUGACAUCACCACACCCCGAUGACGUCACCGCGCCCCGCCCCACCUGAUGGAGUCAUAGACGCUGCUGUAGGUGAAGAGGUAGGUGCGCAGCGACUCCUCCUGGAUCUUCCUGCAGAGCCAAAACGGGGCAAAAAAAGCACAUUUUGGGGCCACCCUGUGCCUUUUCACUCCCCAAUAGAAUAAAGGAGCCCGGAAUGGGGUGAAACGCGGAGGUUUCGGGUCCAUGAGGCACCAAAACGGGGUGAAAACCCCACAUUUUGGGGCCGCCCUGCACCCCUUCCACCCCCCAGUAAAACAAAGGAGCCCGAAAUGGGGUGAAACGCGGAGGUUUCGGGUCCAUGAGGCACCAAAACGGGGUGAAAACCCCACAUUUUGGGGCCGCCCUGCACCCCUUCCACCCCCCAGUAAAACAAAGGAGCCCGAAAUGGGGUGAAACACGGAGGUUUCGGGUCCGUGGGGCACGCACCUGACCAGCAUGGCGCGCACCUUGUCGGCCUCGGGGAACAGGUCCCAGACCUUGCCGUUCAUCUUCUCGUUGACGAUGAAGCGGUGACACGUGCGCCAGUCGCCCAUCUUCAUCGCCUUCGACGCCGCCACCACGUGCUCGCGCAUCGACUCGGGGGGCCCUGGGGGGGGAGAUGGGGGUGUGGG